rnacentral:rRNA from 1 species
UCGAGAAUUUUUCACAAUGGGCGCAAGCCUGAUGGAGCGACGCCGCGUGGGGGAUGAAUGGCUUCGGCCCGUAAACCCCUGUCAUUUGCGAUCAACCGUUAUUAUUUAAAAGAUGAUAACCUGAUAGUAGCGAAAGAGGAAGGGACGGCUAACUCUGUGCCAGCAGCCGCGGUAAUACAGAGGUCCCAAGCGUUGUUCGGAUUUACUGGGCGUAAAGGGUGCGUAGGUGGUGGGGUAAGUCGGAUGUGAAAUCUCCGAGCUCAACUCGGAAACUGCAUUGGAAACUACUCUGCUUGAGGGUUGGAGGGGGGACUGGAAUACUUGGUGUAGCAGUGAAAUGCGUAGAUAUCAAGUGGAACACCAGUGGCGAAGGCGAGUCCCUGGACAACUCCUGACACUGAGGCACGAAAGCUAGGGGAGCAAACAGG